rnacentral:rRNA from 1 species
GACGAACGCUGGCGGCGUGCUUAACACAUGCCAGUCGAACGGAAAGGCCCUGCUUGCAGGGUACUCGAGUGGCGAACGGGUGAGUAACACGUGGGUGAUCUGCCCUGCACUUCGGGAUAAGCCUGGGAAACUGGGUCUAAUACCGGAUAGGAGCCAUUUUUAGUGUGAUGGUUGGAAAGUUUUUUCGGUGUAGGAUGAGCUCGCGGCCUAUCAGCUUGUUGGUGGGGUAAUGGCCUACCAAGGCGGCGACGGGUAGCCGGCCUGAGAGGGUGGACGGCCACAUUGGGACUGAGAGACGGCCCAGACUCCUACGGGAGGCAGCAGUGGGGAAUAUUGCACAAUGGGCGCAAGCCUGAUGCAGCGACGCCGCGUGGGGGAUGACGGCCUUCGGGUUGUAAACUCCUUUCGCUAGGGUCGAAGCUUUUUGUGACGGUACCUAGAUAAGAAGCACCGGCUAACUACGUG